rnacentral:rRNA from 1 species
CACGUAGGGCGCAAGCGUUGUCCGGAAUUAUUGGGCGUAAAGGGCUCGUAGGCGGUUUGUCGCGUCGGGAGUGAAAACUCAGGGCUCAACCCUGAGCGUGCUUCCGAUACGGGCAGACUAGAGGUAUGCAGGGGAGAACGGAAUUCCUGGUGUAGCGGUGGAAUGCGCAGAUAUCAGGAAGAACACCAGCGGCGAAGGCGGCACUCUGGGCCGGUACUGACGCUGGAGGAGCGAAAGCGGUGGGUAGCAAACAGG